ensembl:lncRNA
AGAAAACUAAGGGUCACAGGUGUAGAAAUUUGCCAAAGGUCACACAGCUAGUAAGUGGUGGGGCAGAAUUCAAAGGCCAACAUCAGCCUCCAGAGUCCGUGCUCUUGACCACAGAGCCCUCACUCUGUGCCAGAGGCUCAUGGCUCGCGCACUCAGGCCCAUCCCUGUCUGAACUCAGUGUGGGACAACCUGAGGCCAAGGCUGGGUACCCACCGCAGAAGCAAGGUCCCUCCCUGAAGGAAGGUUUCUGGAGUGGCCAAAGGGGCCCGCCCUUAGGGCAGCCAGCCUGGUAGGCUCUGAGCUGCCUCUAUCUAGAUUCUGACACUUCCAGCCAAGGUCACCCACCUGACAGCCAUCAACUCAACAGCAGGGGACUCCAGGCUGACCUUUCCCUUGUCACCAGAUCCACACAACAGCGGUGGUGAGGCAGUCCAGACCACUGUCUUGUUCUCUCACUAGCCACGUCUGCCUUGGCACUUGGACAGAAUUCACAGCAAACGUUGCCAGGCAGAGUGUUGAAAAGUUCAAAUCAAUCAGAAGCCAGGUGUUGUCAAGUGGUGUGAGACAAAUGCCCACCCCCAGCCCCAGUGCCAGAACACAGCCUGAACGGGGAAAACAGAAAGCACUUCUCCAUUUAUUACUGUCUUACAAACAUUGUAACAACGGCAAGAAUAAAGGUUAGAGGAGCCACCAGCAGAUCUCGCCCAAGAACCUCUCGUGAACAAGCUCUAGCCAGAGCCAUACAGGAAAGGGAACUGCAAGAGACGCGGUUCCUGGCUUCCCCUCCUGCAAGAGACGCGGUUCCUGGCUUCCCCUCCGUGUUGAAAAGGAGAUCUUAGAAAAGGGUGGAGGGAUGCUGAGCUGAAAAUAAACAAAUGAGCACAGUCCACGCUUCUUACCCCAGAUUAGAACUUCCCAAAAAGGACAGUAACAACAUCACAUUAUUCCUGACAUGAUGUGACUGUCCCUUACACAACUGAAGAUGCCCCCUUACCCCCUAAAAGAAACACACAGUAUCCCAUAGUUGCUUUAUCUCUGGGAAUGUUCACUUCUUUCUUAGUUCAGAUGCAAUCUUCCUUUGAUAUCCUAUGACCUAAAUGCCAAAUUCUAGGGCUAACACUUUAUAUUGGCUAGAGGGGGAAUGAGGAAGGAGAGAAAAAGAGCUGAUUAAUAUAUAUAUAUAUAUAUAUAUAUAUAUCUCAAAGCAAAGAAGAGAUUGUGCGUAGUUAUGAAGACUUCCUUUCUGCAAUUAGUCACGUGCCCAUGUUGGUAUUUAUAACUUUCUUCUUCCACCAGCCGUUGCAUGUUCUCUUCGUCCUCAGUCAACAUCUCACCUGGCCAUGUUCUUUACAUGGCAGCAUGACUCAAACCUUCCUUCAAAAUGUGAGUAAAAUUUGGGGACUGGAAAAGAGAAAGGGAGCUACUGAGCUGGAUACUGUUUCUACCAUUUGAAAAAUUUAAAAAGAGCAAAGAAAUGAACAAAAGAAAAAGAGAGAGGAAACAGCUCACAUUGUAAAUAAAGUGGCAAAGACUCCCUACUUUCAUUGCUCUUUCCUCUGUCCUGCCCAUCCCUCCAGCCCCCCGCAAAGAGAAAUAGAAAAGUGUGCCGGGUGAGUGUAGAGAAGGGGCUCAAAACCAUUCUCAGCACUUAGCUUGCUUCAGGUGGAGCCCUGGGUCUCUCCCCACCCUCAUCCACCCCCCAAUGCCUCCCAUCUCUGCCCAUCUCUGCUUGGGGUCUUCUGAGGAGAACGAUGCAUUCUUCAGAAAGCCAGAAUUAGACAAAAGAUCUGCUAGGAAGAGUGGGAGAGAGUAAGAGCCAGGUUUCCUUUGAUUUAUCCACUUUCAACAUAGAAGGUCCACAGGCCAUUCCUCCCUCCACACCCAGCAAGUCCCCCAUCCUUCCCCUCCCGUGAGGAAAUUCCGGGCCGCAGACAGUUUUGCUGAGCAUGAUAAUAAGCUGUGGAGCUGAUCUGCAAUGAAAUCAAACACAUUUAACUGUCACAGGAUGAGUAAUCCUCAGUGGCAACUAAUCUCAGGUCCUGAGGCCCGGGCCUGAUGGAGGGGUUGUGCCCUCUCCUCCUGAACAUCCAUUUCUGGAAAGCAGCCAAGCUCAUUAAGCAGCUCUACUCGGGGGCAUGGCCUCAUCUCCAGAGUGGAGAGGCUGCAUUUUAUGCCUGUCUCCCGUAGGCCGGUUUCCACCCUCCCAUCAGAGUCCAGGUAAAUCCCUGAGCUAACUUCUUCGGGACUGACUUCCUGAGCCAUCCCAUGGGGCCAGCAGGUAGCUCUCCAGUAAAGAAAGGCACAAUCAAUCUUUCCUAGCCUCUCUGAGCUCCUGGAAACUGAGGCAGCUGGUUCCCUGCAAAGUAACAGGCUCUCAAUCCAACCACAGUCAAAACCGUGAGCAAAGGAGACCUGGUGGGUAGAGAUUCUGCCAACUCUCCGUCCUUUCCCGUGGGUUCCUUCUCUAUGCAUAGGACACUAGCAGUGAGAAGAGAGGGGCAGUGGGACACCCAGGCUGCUCCCUGACAGAGGCUUGUAGGAUUGGAGACCAACGAGGAUGCGUUUGCUCAGGGAGCGCCUCACUGUUGGCUCUGUUAAAGGCCCCGUGGGUUCCUGUAAGGAAUGCACUGCGAUGGGAUUGUAGCACUGGAGGCACAACUUUGUUCACUCUUUCAUCAUUGCAGACAGUACCCGUUUAUACAUCCUAGAUAUAUAAACAAGUGAAACAGGAGACAAUCUGUAAGAUAAUAUUCAUCCUCAAAAUCCUUUCAAUCUAAUAAUAAAAAAGUCAGAUCUGUGUUUCCGUCCAGAGUGAUGGGUACCCUGGUGGAGUCACGUGCAGGGCACACUGGGAGCACAGAAGAGGAUGUAGAGAAAGCAUCUGAAAGUGUCCUGACAGGCUUAUUUCCAUCUUCCUUGGUCCCAGACAUCUCUCUGAUCCUAUUCCCCCACCCUCUGCCCAAUCAACUCCCUGGACCUGAUCGUGACCUCUAGACUCUUCCCUUCCAGUCCAGCCUUUGCCGGCAGUCCCAAAUCUUACCUUGGAAAUGUAAUUUGUUCCACUGAACUAACCUGUUUGAACCGGGAGAGCUGUACUCUCCCAUUCCUGGUCACACCCAACCAGCCCACUCUUCCAGUGUUUGUCAUGGCCCAGCGAUGCCCUGGCUAGAACUUGAUAAGUACUGUGUCUAUAACUAUGGAAGAACGCAGCAGAGUGAGGAAAGAGGAGACAGAGGGAGAGAAUGAACAUCAUCUUCUCUUCAUCUUGCCACAAUAUCCUAUGAUAAUAAUUCACUAAUGAUCACCAAAGAACUAAACUGGUUUUCCUGACUGUGUUCCCUGGUGGAAGGGAUCGGGGAGAAGGGAAAUGAUAUUUAUUGAGUGCUUAUUGUAUGCCUACAGCAUGGGGAAAGUAUUAAAAUCUUUUUAGAGAUGAAGAAACUGAGGCUCAGAAAGGUUAAGUGAUCUUCCCAUGGUCACACAGCUAGUAAGAGGCAGAGUCUCAAUUUCAACCCUGGAUCUUCUUACUCCAAAGUCCAUGUUCCAUCUAGUAAGACAAUGUUUCUCAAACCAUAAUCUGUGUGCAAAUCACUGGGGAUCUUGUUAAAAUGCAGAUGCUGAUCCAGAGGUUGGGGAUGGGACCUAAGAUUCUGCAUUUGUAAUCAGCUCCCAGGUGGCACUGAUGCUAGGUGUUCCUGGCUGCCCCCUGAUUUUGAGCAGAAGGCAAUAGAUAAUGAAGCCGUCUGCUCAUAAUCCCAGGUAAACCCCAAAGGCCAGACAGGGAGCAGUUUUCAAUAGAGGUGAUAACACCAUCUCUUACCCCCGGGCAACAUAUUCCGGUUUUGAUUUUUAGUUGUUGCUAGGUGGAGUUACUAGCAUUCAGUAUCUGGGAGUCAAGGAUGCUACAAAUCCUACAAUGUAUGAAAUAACUCAGAUUGAUUCUAUCAGGACAGUCCCGCACAGCACAGAAUUGUCCCAUCUAGAAUUCUUACAGCGUCCUCAUCAAGGAGCUCUGCACAACAGCAUGGGGUGGUGCGCGCCGCAGUCAGACACCACUCCUUUGGCUGCCUCAUCUCCAUUACUUGUUCUCAGUCAUUAGAAGCAUCAGCUCUGCCCUCCAGCUGUUCUGCUCCAGACUGUCAUCCCUGACAGCUGCUCUACAGGGUAUCACGGCACACACCGCAGUGCAUCCUGAUGUCUGGCUUCCGGGAACUCCAACGUGUCAACAGAAAAGAUGAUCCGAGAUGGGCCUAAUCAGAGAGAGGUAUGUUCGCAUAUUUCUGGGCACCCCUAAAGAACUCAGGGAUGCUGCUAUUACACAAACUUGGAUAUUUUAGGAAAACACGUAGGCCAGCUGAUAAAUUCAUAUCAUUUUGCAUUCCAUGAGAAUUUCUAAAGAUAUUUAAUGAGAAGAUGGGAGAGGAGCUGACAUCUACUAAGCUUCUGCUAUGUGUCAGGAAUUCGACAGAUGCUUUACAAAUAUUGUUUCACUGCAUCCGUAGCACAGAGUAAUCAGUACAAACUCAGACUCCGGAGCUAGAGUGUCUAGGUUUGAAUCUCAACUCAGUUAAUUACCAGUUGUGUUACCUUGAAAGAAAUAUUUAACCUCCCAGUUCCUCAGUUGCUUCAUCUGUAAAUGAGGAUAGGAAUGGUAUCUGCCUCAUUAGGCUCCUAUGAAAGUUAGAGUUAAUACCUGCACAGGGCAGAGCACAGAGCAAAGACUAUAAAAGUACAUGCUUGCCAAAUAAAAUCGCCAUGCACGAUAAAUUAUUUUGCCAUAUUUUACAGAUGAGGAAACUGAGGCACGCCCAAGUUCACACAGUUACAAUGUGGUAGAAUCUGUCUAAUACUCGCUGAGAACUUAUGAUGUACCAGACACUACUCUAAGUGACUUACUAGCAUCAACCCAAUUAAUCCUCACAUCCACCCUAAAAGAUGGAUAUUCUUAUCCCCAUUUUACCAUACGAGGAAACUGACUUGCCACAGGGUACAUAUUCGGAUAACGGUGAAUCCAGGAACUGAGCCCGGGUUUCGGAUCCGGAGCCUGGGUGCUCAGUUCCAAAUAGCAUCCUGUGUCCGUUUCUUGACCUACCGCUGUUGGACACUACUGUGUGCCCACCACUGAGCGAGGCAUAUUUUGGGAUAAAAAGAAGUAAAUGUCACAAUGGUUACUUUAAAAUUAAUAAUUUAAUGCCAUAUUUUUAUCUUCUUGUAGGAUAGAUUAUUGGCAAUAACAGCAUAUGAAAAUAAGCUUGCACUUAAGUCUCAGUUCUGCCAAUUACUAACUUUAAUAACCCUGGGCCCAUCACUCAAGCUCCUGGAGCCUCAGAGUCCUCACCUAAACAAGUAUAGUUGAUAAUACCUACUGGGCAGUGGUGUUCAUAAAGACUGAAUAAGAUCCUCUAGGCAUAGUGUUCAAUAACUCUGAACCCCAUCUCUUCAUUUCAUUUCUCUGUGCCUCAGAAGAAACGAUAAACUAGAAUUAGAAACACAGAUAUUGUUGACGAAUGAUUUAUAAUAAAGUUUCUGGAUGACAGGUAAGAGAGUUCCAUAGUUGACUCUUGAAUUGGAGUUUUGUUCCUGAAAAUCCAUUUCAUGUAAUUAAAAUGCAAAUAAUCAUGAAAAGAAAAUCCCCUCACUUUGGAUACAGUCUUUGAUAAACAUAUAUUUAAUAUAUAAAACCAAACACAUAAUAUAAAUCUAUAUUUGAAAAUAUCUGGGGGUGGAAGUGAGCAUAGGCUAAGGGUUUGGUUCCUGAAAACAUGAGUCCAGUGAAAUGUGAACUGAAAAUGCUUUCUUCUCCUGGUAAGUUUCUUAGUCAUCAGAAUCAGCCAUCUUCAUUGCUCCGAGGACCCUGGAAAUGUUCAAUAUUUUGUUCACUUGGGGCAAAAUUUUCCAUUGAUGAGUUAAUGAGUGCAAAUGGUCAAUUCUAAAGGAGGAGUUUCAAAGGUGACCUCUCUUACAGUGAUCUCCUGCUCCCUUUUCAAAAACAUGAAACACCCGUCUUAAACAGUAGCCUUCAUCUUCCAAGACUUCAGCGAACUUCUCCAGAGAAGCCUUCCAUGUCUUUAUGUCAGCCCUUCCAGCUUUCUCUGAAAUCUGAAAUUUGCCGGCAGUUAUCUUUCUGAAUGAUUAAACCAUCCCUUACUCCACUUACCACCUUUUCCUGAUGGUUCCCCAGCUCUGUUCAUAAGAGUUUUAAAAAGUGACAAUCAGGAGCCAGCCCAGUGGUGCAGUGGUUAGACUCGCAUGUUCCACUUUGGUGGCCCGGGGUUCACAGGUUUGAAACCCAGGCGUGGACCUACACACCACUCAUCAAGCCAUACUGUGGUGGCAUCCCACAUACAAAACAGAGGAAGAUUGGCAUGGUGAUUAGCUCAACACCAAUCUUCCUCAACCAAAAAGAGGAAGAUUGGCAAUAGAUGAUAGCUCAGAGCCAAUCUUUCUCACCUAAAAAAAAAGUGACAAUUAAUGCCUUAUCGAUAAGCUAAGAAUUUAUGGCUUAGUUCAGAAGCAUGCUCUUUAGCUAAUCAUGAAUUCAUAUCAUGAGAAGUUUUCUCACCUUUCAAAUCAGCACACCACGUUGUUUUAUCACUAUUUACAUUGACUUAAGUCUAUUUAAAAGCACAUCAGCUUCAGCUGUUAAGUAUUCAUCAAUACAAAGUUUGUUCGUUAUGAUGAAAGUGCUGCUUAUGAUAAGCCUAUAAAGACAGCACUUCUCAAGUUAAGCCAUCCUAAGUCAGGCGGUGUCUGUUUCCAAAUAUUCCAUUAAUCACAUAUGCUGUCUUUGCUGAAAAUGCAGAUUCUGGUCUGUUAACUAAUCCCACUAACGUCGCUUCUCUCAGAAUUGGAAAAAGAUUCCAGGUCUCCACUGAGUUAUUUUUGGCAGUAGGUAAUUCCACAUCCCAGAGAUGAAGUUCUUUGCAUAAUCUAAUUUUAAAAUGUCAGUAGCAGUUUGGAGGGUUAUUAAAGUAUUUCUGACUCUUGAAAAGACUUCCAAAUAUCCUCAAGUUUGUUUACUCUUUCCUAAUGAAGUCAGAUAAAAGCUAGUUUUUGUUGGUCUGAAGGGGAUCCCAAUGCAGGGCCAUGGAUGCUGAGGUCUAUGUCUGCACAUUUCUCCUGAAAUGUACAAGCCUGCGUCCAGAGAAAAUAGCCCGGUGUUGGAAAAGUUGAAGUCACAAGUUCGAAGAGCUUAAACAAACAAAGAGAAGACAUGAAGUAUGUUUACAAUCCUUUAAUUAAAAACCUAUUUAUAUUUAGCAUAUUUCCAGCCCAAUUUCAUUAAUUGGCCCUUCUAGGAAUUUGGGAGAUUGGAGGACAGAAUAGUGUUUUGUUCGACAGUAGACAAGACCAGCACACGUCAAAAUCUUCUCUGUGCACCAUGUGAACGAAGUAGGAAAGGUGAGAAAGCAAUGGCCAAUGUCUGGAUGACAUAUAAAGACCAAGUCCAACAGUCGUCACACCUACAGACAUUCUACAAACAAACAUGUGAGAAUAUUUUUAACCUUGCCAGUAAUUUUUAAAAUUCUAAAUAAAACUAGUGCAUCAUUUUGUAUAAUAAAUUUAGACAAUAAAAAAUAAAUCCGCAAGUUUGAGAAACCAAGUAUCCAAUACCAGAAACUUCUGUGAUGAACUAUUAUUUCAUAUAUUUCUAGUGGAUAGAAUUUGGCACAAACCUUCCAUGACGGGUCAGAAACCCGAGAAUCAUACUCCAAGAUAGGGGCUUGUGUGCAGGGGGCUUAUAGCAGGGUGAUUUGGGGUCAGUACCUGAGAGGGAAGGAGGAAGCAGGAGUGGGCAGGAGGUGAGUUGGAGCUGCAAUACCAUUGCAACGAGGGUCUCAGGCAAUCCUACAGGGAGCUCUGGGGCUGAGGCUAUCCUUCAGAGUUGUCUCAAAUUGGGGUGUUAGGGACCAGCCCAGUGGCAUAGUGGUUAAGUUCACAUGCUCUGCUUCAGUGGCCCGGGGUUCACCAGUUCAAAUCCUGGGCAUGCACCUACACACAGCUCAUCAAGCCAUGAUAUUGUGGCAUCACACGUACAAAGUAGAGGAAGAUUGGUACAAAUGUUAGCUCAGCAACAAUCUUCCUCAAGCAAAAAGAGGAAGAUUGGCAACAGAUGUUAGCUCAGAAACAAUCUUCCUCACCAAAAAACAAAAUAAAAUAAAAUUGAGGUGUUAAUUGCAGGUUCCCCCUUUGCAUAAGUUUGGGCAAGACAGCUCUCUCCAGCUUAUGGAAAGUCCCAGAAAGGGAAGUCAGCUGACUGUUAUUUGCCACCAACACUCCCACCAGCUCAGGGGAUGAAUGAACUGACCUGGAGGGGGAUCUGGGUGGCACACCAUGGUAUCCUCUGUGGACAACUCCUUACUCCACUUGGAUCCACUUCCUUCGUAUUAUAAACUCUAGGAGAAACUCCUCCAGUAUUCUGUUUGGUUUCUUUUCCUGGGGGAAUCUUACAAGAAGGUUAGGGAGAAAAACUUCCAUCUCUGCCACUGCACUGACCUUGAGGCAGUAACAGACAGUCUUUCUGCCAGGCUUCCACCAUCUGUUCUAGAGUCUCUUCGCCCUCAACCAGCACCUCUGCUGGUCUAGCUGGCUGGGCUGCUGAGGUGAUACAGACGUUUUAUCUCUGGAUAAGAGUGGCCACGGGCCACUGGUCACCAUAACCUUCCCAGGUGGUGUUGCUGCCACAUUUACCAACAAAAUUGGGCAACGGUUACCAAGAGCAACCCAAGUGGAUCACUUGAGUGCCAAAUAUAUUCUUCCCUGCCCCUAGUGUGUACGAGCAGCUCUACCUCUGCCUGAAGGUCAAGGUCAAUUGUUCAUGCCAGUAUGGUGACUACUUUCCUUGCCUAUUGGUCUCUUGGGACAAGAUCUUUGAAGUAACCGAGCAGGAGCUUAAUCCUAUUAAUUAUCUUAAUAGAACCUUGCUGUGUUCUUUGGUGGACCCAUUCACUCUCUAAGAAACAAGACUAUAAAAUGUCAGAAUCCAGAGUUAAAGAGAAGGGAAGCACAAAUUCUCUAAAGGAGUCACUGGGGCCGAUGAUAAGCAAGGUCAUUUUUACUUCUGCUUCUUGCUUCCUGGGUCUUGAAAACACAGCACCAUCUAAUAUUUAACAAUUUGAGGUAUAUACUACAUCUUAGAGGAUAGCGGUCCAUCUGGACAGGGCAUCCUCUCCAAGAUGGCACCUCAGCUGACCCUUCAACAGAUUGUUCCAGUGCUCUGUCAGUCCAGCAGCCCGUGGGUGGUGGAGUACAUGAUAGGACUGUGGAUACCAUGGUCAUGUGCCCACUGCUCACCUCCUUUGCUGUAUAAUGGGUGUCUUGGUCCAGUGAAAUUUUGUGUGGGAUCCCAUGCCUGUAGAUCAAACUCUUUCUAAGCCCUUGGUUAGCAGUGCUGGUUGAAGUCCUGCAGGCAGAAAAGGCAACCUGUAUUUGGAACAGAAGUCAAACCCAGUGUGGAAAGUCCGUCCACCUGGACCUAUCGCAGAUCGCUUUUCUGUUCUGAGACCCACACAAAGCUGGCAAUUUUAUGUGUCUCCCUGUAAAUGGGUUAAAACAAUAUUCCCAAGUGUGCAAUAAAUGCCCUGCCUCCAAAAAUCUAAGACACCUAUCAGGCAUUGUGUUCCUUCCUGGUGAUGGGAAGUGCGAGAUGCAAUAAUCUGCCCCAAACUUUGAAGAGAAUGUUCCAGCAUGCCUCUGACCCUUAGACUAAAAAUUGCAUUGAUGCUGUAGGCCUCUGAAUCUUCUUAAGGUUUUUCUCCCACCUUCUGGAACACGUUCUAUUAAUUUGUAUUUAUUUUCUGUUCUUGCAUAAAAAAUUACCACAAACGAGCUUAAAACAACACUCAUAUAUUACCUCAUGGUUCUAGAGGUCAGAAGACCUGUAGAAAGUCAAAGUCAAGACGUCAGCUACAUAGCAUCCCAGUUCACCACUGUUAAAAUAUUUAACCAUUCACCACCACCACAUGCCACAGGCUAUCUGUGUUCUACCUACCAUCAGUAGAUUUUACUUACUGCCCAAUUUUUUGCAUAAUACAUUGAACAUAAUGCACUAAGUAGCCACUAUUUGUAUUUACAACUUGCACUUUUCCCUCUAAAAUUAAGAUUUGUGGCCUGCUUCACUGCCAACUAUUCUGUGUGAAUAAAACAGUGAACGAUUUCACAUUUCAAAGGAAUCUCUUUUACUUGCUAUAAACAUGACUGGUCCUCCUUCGGAACUAAUCUCAGUGUACGCUUUCCUAUUUGCACCAUGACUUACAAAGUUAUUAUAUACGAAACGAACAAAAAUCUCCCAGAUCAUGGGUUCUCAGGAAUAAAUAGAACAAAAACUUGUCAAGCAAUUUUCCCUCAUAUAUAAUGUGACAAAUGUUAGGAGCUAUUUAAAACUCUGAAAUCAGUGGUUAUAGAACUGCAAAGUAAAAUAUUUACUAUUAUUAUGCACUUGUGAUAGUAAUCGCUCCUUCACAUUAUAUUUCAUUGAUAUUGUGCAAUACACAACAGAACAUUUCAUAAAGGACUUUUACCAAUAACCCUCAAGCAUGGUACUUAUCAUUAACUUUGUGGCUAAUUUUACAAGCCGCUUGUGAUUUGUGUUAUAAAUACUAUUUUUGUCAUACGUAGUAGUACUUUAAAUUUCUUCUUCCAUUUUGGUCUCUUCUUUGCCUUUAGCAACAAAAUUUAUUGCUAUUACACUAGAAAGCAUCAUUUUUGCCUAUCCUUGGAAAGCUGAUUGGUUUGCUUUGGAAGUUAUUUGUGGAGGAAACUGCUAGCAGUGUCCAUUCUCCCAUUCCUCCUUCGUAUUAGAACCUCCAAUACUAGAUGGGCACGAUGCUGCUCAGGUGGAGGACUACCUGCCCACCUCCCUUGCAGCUUGGAUGCUCAGGUAACUAAGUUCUGGUCAGUGAUAUACAUAAAUGUGUUUUUGUAGGACUUCUGGGAACUUUCCUUGAAAGGGAAUGGGUACGCUUAUCCUUACUUCUUGCUGGCUAGAGUAGAUUGUGAUGUGUGGAACGCCAGCAGCCAUCUUUGACCAGGAAGUAUUUGUGAAAACAAAAGCCACACAUUGAGAUGGUAGAAUAAAGAGAAAAGAGCCCAGGGCUCUGAUGACACCAUGGGCCCACUAUUCCAACCCUAGACUGCCUGCCCUCAGACUUCUUUGAGAAGGAGGAAUUAAUCUCCCUCUGUUCAAGCCACUGUUAUUUUGGGGUUAAUUUCUUGGAUGCAGCUGAAAUUAUUCCUAGUGAAUAUAUCGUUAUGCUUCGUUUUAAAAAGAUGCAAAUCUGCAAUGUCUUCAUGCCUCUAUUUGACAAUGUUAUUUUUUCCAAUUAUUUUAUUGAGGUUAUAUUGGUUUAUAACAUUGUAUAAUUUCAGUUGUACAUUAUUAUAUAUCAGUUUCUGUAUAGAGUGAAUUGUGCUCACCACCAAUAGUCUAAUUUUUAUCCAUCACCAUACAUAUGUGCCCCUUUACCCCUUUCACCCUCCCCCAACCCCUUUCCCCUCUGGUAACCAUUAAUCUGUUCUCUUUAUCCAUCUGUUUGUUUAUCUUCCACACAUGAGUGAAAUCAUAUGGUAUAUGUCUUUGUCUGGAUUAUUUCGCUUAGCAUAAUACCCUCAAGGUCCAUCCACGUUGCUGCAAAUGGGGUGAUUUUGUCUUUUUUAUGGCUGAGUAGUAUUCCAUUGUAUAUGUAUAUCACAUCUCCUUUAUCCAUUCAUCAGUUGAUGGGCACUUGGGUUGCUUCCACGUCUUGGCUAUUGUGAAUAAUGCUGCAGUGAACAUAGGGGUGCAUAAAUCUCUUUGAAUUAUUGAUUUCAUGUUCUUUGGAUAAAUACCAAAAGUAGUGGGAUAGCUGGGUCAUAUGGUAGUUUUCUAUUUUUAAUUUUUUGAGAAAUCUUCACAUUGUUUUCCAUAGUGACUGCACCAGUUUGUAUUUCCACCAGCAGUGUAUGAGGCUUCCCUUUUUUGUAUAUCCUCUCCAACAUUUUUAUUUUUUUGUCUUGGUAAUUAUAGCUAUUCUGACAGGUGUGAGGCAAUCUCUCAUUGUAGUUUUGAUUUGCAAUUUCCCAAUAAUUAGUGAUGAACAUCUUUUCAUGUGCCUAUUGGCCAUCUGCAUAUUUUCUUUGGAAAAAUGUCUGUUCAUAUUGUCUUCCCAUCUUUUGAUUGGGUUGUUUGUUUCUUUGUUGUUGAGUUGUAUGUGUUCUUAUAUAUUUUGGAAAUUAACCCCUUGUCAGAUACACAUGGUACUGGCACAAAGACAGACACACAGGUCAAUGGAACAGAAUCAAAAGCCCAGAAAUAAAACCACAAAUCUAUGGAUGGCUACUCUUCAGCAAAGGAGCCAAGAACAUACAAUGGAGAAAGGAAAGUCUCUUCACUAAGUGGUGCUGGGAAAACUGGACAGCAACAUGCAAAAGAAUGAAAGUAGACCAUUAUCUUACCUCAUACACAAAAAUUAACUCAAAAUGGAUUAAAGACUUAAAUGUAAGACCUGAAACCAUAAAACUCCUAGAAGAAAAUAUAGGCAGUACAUUCUUUAACAUCGAUCUUAGCAGCAUCUUAUUGAAUACCACGUCUACUCAGGCAAGGGAAACAAAAGAAAAAAUAAACAAAUGGGACUAUAUCAGACUAAAAAGCUUCUGCAAGGCAAAGGAAAUCAUGAACAAAAUGAAAAGACAACCCACCAACUGGGAGAAAACAUUAACAACAUUUUUCAAUGGAUAAUACACCAAAUAUUAGGGAAAAUUAAGUUGUCAAUCCAGUAACACUCAAAUUUCAGAUAUUUGUUGUUUUGCUUUCUAAUAAUACCUUUUAUCUUGUGCAAAAUCAUUGUUCCCAUGGGUUUUCCUGUCCUCGUUAAGGAAGUUCACAGUGUAUGUUGAUUAUAUUCACAUUCUCUAUUGAGAAGGUCUGUUCAUAUAUUCUGAGUUAUAGUAUUGAUAUGACUAUUGUUAUCAUUGUAUUUAUACUCUGAUAAAUACUUUUAAGCCUUUUAAUCCUCUUGUAUCAUUCAAGAUAUUAUGCAACAGCCAAAAUCAAAAAUAACAAACAUAAACAAUAACACUAAAUAAAAUGCAAUGGUAGAGAGAGGUUGGGGGAAAAUACUCAGUUUGCCAGAUUUUCCAUUCACGUGGUUUGUAAUGGCCUCAUGCCCAGUUUAGGUGUGAGGUGGACAGAGAGUGUGACAGCUGUAAAGUAGAAAGCUCCUGGUCUGAGAGCACGAAGGUAUGCACACGUAUAUAGUAUACAUAACACGUAUAUAAUAUAAGCUCACCUCUGUUAACUACUUCAGGUGACGACAAAGAAUGACAUUCAUUAAAAUGUUGAUCAUAAAUUGGUGGCUAAGAUAAUAUCUACAUGUGUUUUAAUCUGUAAUAUUAAGUAAAAACCAUUUGUUAAGUUUGGGCAGGAAUUGACUGUGAGAGUACAGUUCAAAGAAAACAUUAUGGACAGGUUGAGGAGGACCAGCUCUCUCUCCUGCCCAAGGGUAUGGCAGCUGGGACUGCAGGGGAGGCUCCUACAACCCACAGACCACUCCUUUCCAACUUUCAAGACCACCCUCAAACAAAAUGGCUUUAGGGACAGCUUCCACUAAAGCAUUUGUGAGGAGCACCUGCUCCUUGUACAUUCAUUUCUUAUAAGCUCCCAGGGCUGCUCAAACGUAUCACAUUAUCUCUGUGGGUCUCCACGCUUCCAGCCAAGAAUAAGAAAAGGUCACACAGCUCUACAUCCCCUACCUGAGCAAAGAGAGGUGUGGGAAGCAGGGAAUGCCGAAGCCUUUAAAGAAAUCUGGCUUCUGCCACUUAUGUCUGGUCUCUAUACAGUUUGGGGCAAACUCUGUCUGUUUAUGGAGAAGUGAUUGUAAACUUUUUGAAAUUCACACCCAACGUAAACACAGAAAUGCAGAUGAAGCGAAUGUUAGCAGUGACAGCUGACUCACGUGGCCUUUUGACACAAGCAAUGCUUUUAGAAUAUUUUGGUUUGUUAGGAAUGUAACAGAAUGUCUCUGAAGCCUAAAAUUAAUCUUAUACUGCAAAUACGUGAAAUAUAUAUGGACAAAAUGUUCAUUGCUUUUUCCUGGAAAAGUGCCACACUUUCUGAGGAUGUCUUCAUAAACUCCUGGGAUGACCAGUGGUCUUGGGAGCCCAUUCAGACCUCCUGGAUCUUUGAAGCAGAAAUGUCACAGCGAGAGAGUGAGUUUGUAGCAGAAGAACCAAGAAGCCCUGAAAAUACCACUUUGGUGUAAAAGAUUAAUAAAAAGGGGCUCUGACAGCCAGGGCACAGACUCAAACAAACUAUUUCUAAAACUGGGUACCCCUCUGAAUUCAUCAGGAAAACUGAAAAUGGCAGCAGCCUGUCUGCAGGUCCUCGGCAACACGAGCUUAGUAACGGAACUAUAAACGGCAGCUGUCUAGGAGAGGGGAUUGUACAUCAAAAGGAAAAGAAUCCUGUUGUGCUUUAUAUGGUUUCACAAUCUCUGGGCUCUACUCUAGUUGUAACUCCAAGAAGCUUUACUCUGAGCGUUGAAAGAAGAAUUUCUCUGCCAAGCUUAGUUAUAUGACUGCCCCUGGGCUUGGGGAAGAAGAGUAUAUUGUGAGGCUUUAGUUAGUCCGUCCUGGAAAGUGGAGGGUUAGGAGUCCCUCUCCCUAGCCCUCUCCAAGUCACUACUGGCUAGCAGGUGUAAGCCGUCUCGUCUUCUUAGCACGGGCAGAGGAACGAGAGGACCGAGGGGAAUGAAUUGAAGACCACAAACAGAGCUGCUGCGUCUGCUCACAGGUAGUGUCCUGCCUAGCUGCAGAGAUGCCAUUCCCAGGGUCAACAGUGUCAAUGGCACCGCCAGGGGUUGUGCAGUGUGGCAGCCCUGAGUCCAAAAGGCCCUUCUGCCUUAAGAUGUCUUCUCUUACAGUCCACCUCAGUGCCCAAUCCCACUCCUCUAGAGCCUUUUCAAUAACAGAUGUGUAAACACUUUACAAAGUAUUAAAAAAAAUGCAAAUCUGAGGGAUUUGGGGGAGUACGGUACUGUUUCCAGUAGUUAACAUAUCAAUAUGUUAUCUAGAGGGUCUCAUUUGUUAAUAUAUUAACCCAUUCUAAUAAGGUGAUCAAAUGAUGCGAUAUACUUAAAAGCACUGAGCGAACUUUAAGGAACUCUACAAAUAUAAGAUGUUGGAAUGAUGACAGUGUCUGGUUAAAGAAGUAGCGUAAGAAACAGAGCCUCAAAAGACUAAGAUGAAGACAAGUAGGGUUUAAUAGGGAAAUGUGAGUCCUGGGGAGCCAAGGCACGGCUUUAAAAUAGGGGAGCAGCCAUAGAUAGCACACUGUCACUGAGACCCCGAGUGCCAAGGGGGUUACAGAGGCCCCAGAGGAUAAAUGGACAUGCUAAAAAUAAACUUCAUCUCCUUAACAACUUACCUUUUACGAUCACAAACUCAUUCUAUCUUGCUGGCUCUCUGUCUUCUCCCAUAUCCAUUCUUGUCAGAUUUCAAUUUGUCGAAAUAAGAACAAAACUUCUCAGCUCACUCAGCCAGGGCUGCUAAAAGAUUAAUUAAAUGUUCAUAUCUCCUUGAGUUUCCUCUAGGGGCAUAAACACCCUGCCCAUUUUCUUUGCUUAACGAAAUCUUAGAAGGGCCAGCAACUGAAGGCGCUUUUUCUAGUUUGCUUCCCUCGAUUUCUGCCCUCUCCUCCCUGAGAACUGGCCAUGUUUUCCUCCAGAGUACUUCACUCAUAAAGUCAUCUUAUCAAACCCCUUGAGACAGGGCCAGCAUCUUCCUCCUCUUCCUGUUCCCCAUGGCUUAGCUAGGAAGGUGAUUCACGCUCUAAACUACACCGACUUCCUGAAGUCAGAGGCCUCACAGUUGUUCUAUUAGCCUCAGGGAAGGGAGGCAAAUUUUAUUAAGAAAAUUUUAAGGACCUGUUCUUAAGUACUUAAGAAGCUUAAUAUUUAUUUCUUCUCAACAAGUCGAAGAUGGUACCUAUUAUUUUAAUCUUUUAACAAUUGUGUUCUCGGUCCACGGAGAUACAGAAGCACAGGUCUGCAAGAGUCCAGGCUGCUCAUGACAGAGUCCCAAGAGGCUCAGAGAAGAGAUGGCAAGAUAGACAGCGAAACUUAAAAUCUACUGGGAGGAGAUAAAUAAAAAACAAAUGAAGGCAAUAUAAAGACCCUGGAUGUGGUAACUGCUAGUGUAUAUUUGAAAUUUAAACCCAAGUUAUAAUCAAAACAAUCUCCCUUUGUAAGAAAAUUAAUAUGAUUACAUCAAAAUCCUUCUCUUGUGUGACAUUGCAUUUCUAGUGCAAGGUAGAGGACUUGAACCCCGUUAGAAUAUUACUUUAUAUAACUCCAUAAACUUAUGAUCAUGGUUAAAUGAUAAUCUUUGGCAUUUCUUGGGGGAAAAAAAGAAGUUAUUUAAAUCAAAGCCAAAAGGAUUUAGCUGUAAACAGGAAAAUAUUGGCAUAGCGAUUUUCCCGUGUCAACUUGGUAAAGCUGAAACUGCACUUCCCAGAAUUCUUAAACCUGUAUAUUAUACAAAGUUAAAGUAGGUCAAAAUUGGAAUUUGCAUGAGAUUUGGAAGGUUGAAAUGAAUUAGCAGCCAUUAUUUUCUAAGGUUAUCAAGCUUAGAUGUGGGUGACAGAAAGAUGCAGGGCCCAGCGGGUUCCACAUUGCUGUCACUCUCCUAACUCAUGGUCAGGCUCUCCUUCCUGACUGCUCACUCUGCUGUUAUCCCAGGUUUGUCAACAGAUGCGUGGCUGUGGAUCUAGACAGGCAACAGCUCCCCACAGACCUCUCCAUCAGAUCCCUUUUUGGUCUCACUCUGGCAGCUGGAUGGGGCCGGCUUUCAGACUGACUGGUGGGUGUCUUCUGUGAUCCUCCAACUUACCCUUCAGACUUUCACUUCCCUAGCCUCCCACAAUUGUAUAGGGUCUAAUUCUUGUAAUAAAUCCCUUACCCAUAGCUCAAAAGGUCAGCUUUCUCAUUGAACCCUGAUGUUACAAUUGGUUAGAAAGAAUCAUUCAAUUUCAUUAACAUUUGAUGAGCAUCUAUCUGGGCCAACCCUCUUCGUAUAUACUCAUCUCAUUUUAUCCUCAUGACAUCUAUGUGAGAUUGGCAUCAUAACCCCCUCUUAUGGAUAGGAAAACAAAAGCUGAAAGGGGUUAACCGGUUUGUCUAAGAGAAUCCAGCUAGAAGAGAAAGAUGAGCAGAGCAAAGCAUUUCUCCUUGGCCUGCCACCCCCUGCCUUACACACACAUAUAUGAAGCCAGAUACCUGAAGGUUACUGUAGAUAUUAGGCCAAUUUGUUGUUUUCCUGUUUAGGUUGAGUUGCGACUCAGGGGUCUUCUCAAGUGUUUGUGAGCUUGUUUUGCGUAAGAAAGAGAAGGCCUUUGGGGAGGCUGCACUCACCAGACGACUGGCCCUCUGUAGCCUUUGAAGCCCAAAAAUCAGAUUGCCCUGGGGCUUAUCAGGAGCGACCCCUCUGUUUCCCUGAAGCUCCUCCUGCCAAGCUCCUUGGCUCUCUGAAAACCCCCUGCUUUCUGUUCCGGAGAAGAUGGAUUUGAGCCCACCCAGGCUCCCACCUACUCAUUUUGGCCAGUUUGAAUAAAUCUUUCUCCAUCUCCAAGCACCGAUGUCUCAGUGUUAGACUUGCUGUGCAAGGGAAACGAGAACUUGAGAUUAAGAGUUUUGGUGUCAUAUACACACUCAGCAAAGAAGACGCUACGUUUUCAUGUUCUCAAGAGCAGUAGAGAAAGAAAUGAAUGGUAUUGUGGCUAAUGAAAUUAAAGAAAUCAAAUAAUUAGUGAAACAGGGGCUAGGGCUAAAUUAGAAACAGGUGGUGGAGCGGGGAGACAGGCUGCUGGGAACACUCCACAAAUUGUCAAAACACCCCUCUAAGAUAGGCACUCUGCUACCUCCCUUUACAGAUUAGGAAACAAAGAAAGUAGAAAGCCUCAAGGCAACCAAAUCAAGAGAAAGCAAGUCUUCAAACACUGAAGUUCUUCAAUGGCAGAAUAUUCUGCCAGAAUUCUGAAAAAGCCACAUGACAUUCCCACAUAAAUAAGAAGAGGAAGAGAGCGGGGAGAGGUGACAAGAGAGAGACAGAAAGAAAGAGAGACAGAGAGAGAAAUACAGCAAGGAAGGAAGGCAAAGAAAGGAGAGUGACAAGAGAAAAUGAGAAGUAAAAAGGCAGAACUGGGAAGGAAGAGGGAGACGUUGGCGGGUGACCUCCAUUUAUUCCAGUAACAUUUCUUGGUCACCUGCUCUGAGUCUGGAACUGUGCAGACUCUGGGUAUAUGAUAUGAACAAGUCCCCUCCCCAUCCGUGAGGCUUACAUUCCACUAAGUAAACCAGACAUUAAUCUGCAAAUUUAAAAAUUGCUGCCUUGUCUGCAAUUUACUUUACUUCACAGACUGUGUGAUAUAUAGGCGGUCAUUUUAAUUUAUAUUCUAGAUGUGGUUGGUUAAUAUCUGAACUCCCUAAUCAGAAAUACACACUUUAGGAGUGGCUAGUUAGCAUUUGAAAGACUAAUCAAAAUUCACACUCCAGAGACAGCUACCAUAGGCUCUAGUUAUCUUCAUAUUUGAUCAACGCCAGAAGAUUUGUUGCUUAGUAUAAUGGAUGUUGGAAAUAAUUUUUCUUUGGUGAAAUAAAUGAUCUUCAAAUUGUACGGAAUGACUGAAAAUAUUGUAUAGGCACUACUCCCUUAUGUAAACAAAUACAAGAAUCUAGCAAACCUAUUGGCCUUAUAUCUUUUGAAAUGAUGCUUGAGGCCUUGUCAUUUCUCCUGGUCCUAUACCCUACCAUUUAGGCAGUAUUUGAUACUGAUUAGAAAUUUAGCUGAAUCUUGCUGCUAGAAUAUUUUCACAUUUGCCUCAAAUGAACCCUUUAAUUAAGAGCUUGUCUGGAUGGAUAAAAAGUCAGAGAGCUAGGAUUUCACUGAGCUAACAGAACAGGCUAUGUGAAGGUUUUGGUGCCUGCUUGAUGAUAUUUGUUGUGCAGAAUCCAUUUUGAGACUUGCCUUCCGUGUAAUAUUCCUGCUGGUUGUGAGUUCUGGAGAAGAUGUAAUACUUAUAAAUGACCAUGUUAGCUUAGGUCAUUUUACAAGAACAAUGAAUUCCCCAUAUUAUAAAUGCCUAAGGGAGAAAUACAGGGUAGCAUGGGAAAAAGGCAUAUGAAUAUGUUCCUGAUCUAAUCUAAUAAAUCCAGAAUUAGGGGUUACAUGCUGAAGGAUUAAUACACUGUAGGUAAAAGAUCAAAAAUCAAGGGCGGCCAGCCCAGUGGCAUAGUGGUUAAGGUCACGAGCUCCAUUUUGGCAGCCGGGGGUUCACAGGUUUGGAUCCCAGGCAUGGACCUACACAUCGCUCAUCAAGAGAUGCUAUGGCGGUGUCCUACACACAAAAUAGAGGAAGAUUGGCACAGAUGUUAGCUGAG